rnacentral:rRNA from 1 species
GAUGAACGCUGGCGGCGUGCCUAAUACAUGCAAGUCGAACGCUGGAAAUCUAGCUUGCUAGAUUGAAGGAGUGGCGAACGGGUGAGUAAUACAUAAGCAACCUACCCACGAAGACUGGGAUAAUCUCUGGAAACGGGGACUAAUACCGGAUAGGUAAUCGGAAGGCAUCUUCUGAUUAUUAAAGGUUAAAAACACUGGUGGAUGGGCUUAUGGCGCAUUAGUUAGUUGGUGAGGUAACGGCCCACCAAGACGAUGAUGCGUAGCCGGCCUGAGAGGGUGAACGGCCACAUUGGGACUGAGACACGGCCCAGACGCCUACGGGAGGCAGCAGUAGGGAAUUGUCGGCAAUGGGGGAAACCCUGACCGAGCAACGCCGCGUGAGUGAUGACGGCCUUCGGGUUGUAAAGCUCUGUUGUAAGGGAAGAACGGUAGAUAGAGAAUAUCUAAAUGACGGUACCUUACCAGAAAGCCACGGCUAACUACGUG